rnacentral:rRNA from 1 species
GACGAACGCUGGCGGCGCGCCUAACACAUGCAAGUCGAACGAGAGAGAGGAAGCUUGCUUCCUCGAUCGAGUGGCGAACGGGUGAGUAACGCGUGAGGAACCUGCCUCAAAGAGGGGGACAACAGUUGGAAACGACUGCUAAUACCGCAUAAGCCCACGACCCGGCAUCGGGAAGAGGGAAAAGGAGCAAUCCGCUUUGAGAUGGCCUCGCGUCCGAUUAGCUAGUUGGUGAGGUAACGGCCCACCAAGGCGACGAUCGGUAGCCGGACUGAGAGGUUGAACGGCCACAUUGGGACUGAGACACGGCCCAGACUCCUACGGGAGGCAGCAGUGGGGAAUAUUGCACAAUGGGGGAAACCCUGAUGCAGCGACGCCGCGUGGAGGAAGAAGGUCUUCGGAUUGUAAACUCCUGUUGUUGAGGAAGAUAAUGACGGUACUCAACAAGGAAGGACGGCAACUAC